GAUCAACAAACUCCAUUUCGUAUCAAUCUUCUUGUCAAGUAGAGAAUAAUCAUAAUCAGAAUAGCGGGUACGGAUCCGGGGCGAAACGGCAAAUUACCUUCCUGAUCGGGCACCGUUUGGGAAUCGGGCGAGUCCAAAUACAGAAAACCCUUUUUUCCAAUUUCGGAUGAACAGUCGGACCCAUGGCUGAACCAGAACUUCCUCAGAUAAAUUUUUUUUUCCUCCGAACCAAACACGGCCGAUGAAGAAAGUCACGACUGUGAAGUCCACAACAACUCUCUUGUUUUUCUUCAAUCAAACCCAAUCAAUCCACGCAUCGCCAACCCUCCAAUGGAAGCUCCGUGACGAGUCGAAGCUGACCCGACCGGAAUUACUUGAUCGGAUCUGCCGACUUCUCGUUCUCCGGCGAUUCAACGCCGUCGCCAAGCUCCCCUUCGACUUCUCUGACGACCUCGUCGACGCCGUCCUCCGGAAACUCAGGUUGAACCCUAACGCCUCUCUAGAGUUCUUCAAAUUGGCUUCGAAACAGCAAAAUUUCAGACCUUGCUUCAAAUCAUACUGUAAGAUUGUUCAUAUACUUUCACGAGGUCGAAUGUUCGAUGAAACGAGGGUUUACUUGAACGAACUUGUUGGAAUGUGUAAGACUAAGAACAAUAGUUUUGUGGUUUGGGAUGAACUAGUUAGGGUUUAUAGAGAAUUCAAGUUCUCGCCGACUGUUUUCGAUAUGAUUCUGAAGAUUUAUGCUAAGAAGGGUUUGACAGAAAAUGCCUUGUAUGUGUUUGACAGAAUGGGUAAGUUCGGUCGUGUGCCGAGCUUAGGGUCUUGUAAUAGUUUGCUUAAUAGUUUGGUUCAAAAUGGUGAAUGGUACACUGCAUUUUGUGUUUAUGAUCAAGUGAAUAGGGUUGGAAUUGUUCCGGAUGUAUAUACUUUUACAAUAAUGGUGGAUGCGUAUUGUAAAGGUGGCAGAGUUGAUAAAGCUCUGGAUUUUUUGAAAGAAAUGGGGGAUUUGGGUUUUGAACCGAAUGCAGUGACCUACCAUUGUCUGAUCAAUGGCUAUGUCAAGCUAGGAGAUGUAAAAGGGGUUGAAGGAGUGUUGGAGUUGAUGAAUCAAAAAGGAGUUUCAAUGAAUGUGGUUACAUAUACGCUGGUGAUUAAGGGUUAUUGCAAACUUUGUAAGAUGGAUGAAGCAGAGAAUGUGCUUCGAGCCAUGAAAAAGGAGCCAUCGUUGAUUGUGGAUGAAUAUGCUUAUGGUGUUUUGAUUGAUGGGUACUGUCGAAAUGGCAGAAUGAAUGAUGCCUUGAGAAUGAAGGAUGAGAUGCUGGGAUUAGGAUUAAAGAUGAAUUUGUUUAUUUGCAAUUCCAUGAUCAAUGGGUAUUGCAAACUCGAUCAAGUUCAUGAAGCAGAGGAACUACUUGUAACCAUGUCCUGUUGGAAGUUAAAGCCUGAUUCUUAUAGCUACAAUACUCUUGUAGAUGGUUAUUGUAGAAAAGGCCAUACAAUUGAAGCUUUUAAUAUUUGUGACAAAAUGCUGGAAGAAUCUAUUGAAUUAAGUGUUGUAACUUAUAAUACUCUUCUGAAAGGUUUAUGUCGAAGAGGUGAAUUUGGUGAUGCUUUACACCUUUGGCAUUUGAUGCUGAAAAGACGUGUGGCUCUAAACAAGGUUAGCUAUAGUAUCAUGCUUGAUGGAUUUUUCAAGAAGGAUGAUUUUGAGGGUGCUUUAAUGUUGUGGAAACAUGUUUUAGCUGGAGGCUUUGCCACUAGGAUCACUCUCAAUACAAUGGUUAAUGGAUUAUGCAAGAUGGGAAAAAUAAUUGAAGCAGAGGAGGUGAUUGAGAAGAUGAAGGAGCUGGGUUCUUCACUUGAUGGGAUAACAUAUAAGGCCUUGAUUGAGGGAUAUUGUAAAGCUAAACAUAAAUUUUAAUGCAAGGGAGCUUGUGUUUGAGCUUAAUGUCAAAUCUAAGAUAUGACUAUACUGCUGCUGGAUUUAAUGGUCGCAUUCCUGUGAGGAGCUUGCUGAUAGUAUCGUUCAAUGUGGCCAUCAAAACAGGAACAUGCUGAAUAACUUGUAAAUGCAUGUGAUAAGUGGAAGGCUAAAGUAAUUUAUGGUGACACGGACAGGAAACUGACAACGAAGAAGAAACAGCAUAGGAGAGCAGCUUACCGGGGUCACCAUUGACAGCACUGAUGAGCUGCAGGCAGACCUUAUGCCCUAAAAUCUCAUCAACCCGAUCGACAAGUGGUGGGCUAAGGCCAUCAAAGUCAAUGAGAGUUUUCUUCACCAGCACAACAGUUCCCUUGAUCUUCUUCCCUUCAUGCUUGUUCUUCUUGUUCCCGUUUUCAUCAGUGAUUGCAUCCAUGACCUUUCCUGGACUUUUUUUCCAGCAGCAUAAGUUGAAGCAGACAGAGAAUAUGAAACUGAAGAUGAGAGAAUUGUUUGGAGAGAGUGUAGGUACCAUUAUUUUUAGGCAAAGAUUUAAGCUGAGUAUGAUGGCUGAGAAGCUUCACUUCUUCUCGUAGGAAGAUGUGUUUUGAGGUUUUUUGUAGGAUGACUUUGGACAUGGAUCAUACUGUAUAUAUAUUGUUUUGAUUGAGGCCUUGUUUGGUGACUUUGUUAUUUUAGUUGUUUUUUUGGCUA